GACAGAGGUGCCGAGCGUUAGGCGGAAUCACUGGGCUUAAAGCGUGUGUAGGCGGAUCGUUAAGUGCCUUGUGAAAUCCCACGGCUCAACCGUGGAACUGCUUGGCAUACUGGCGAUCUUGAGCCACUUAGGGGCUACCGGAACAAAUGGUGGAGCGGUGAAAUGCGUAGAUAUCAUUUGGAACGCCAAUGGUGAAAACAGGUAGCUGGGAGUGUGCUGACGCUGAGACACAAAAGCCAGGGGAGCAAACGGG
rnacentral:rRNA from 1 species